rnacentral:rRNA from 1 species
AGAGUUUGAUCAUGGCUCAGAACGAACGCUGGCGGCGUGGAUUAGGCAUGCAAGUCGAACGCGAAAGUGGAGCAAUCCAUGAGUAGAGUGGCGAACGGGUGAGUAACGCGUGAAGAACCUGCCUUCAACAGGGGGAUAACACUCCCAACGGGGUGCUAAUACCGCAUGAGACCACGGGGUCGCAUGGCCCUGAGGUCAAAGGUGGCCUCUAUUUAUAAGCUACCGGUUGAAGAUGGCUUCGCGUCCCAUUAGCUAGUUGGCGGUGUAACGGACCACCAAGGCGACGAUGGGUAGCUGGUCUGAGAGGAUGGUCAGCCACACUGGGACUGAGAUACGGCCCAGACUCCUACGGGAGGCAGCAGUCGAGAGGCUUCGGCAAUGGGGGAAACCCUGACCGAGCGACGCCGCGUGAGGGAUGAAGGCCCUUGGGUUGUAAACCUCUUUUGUUGGGGAAGAAAUGCGAUCAGGUGAAUAAUCUGGUCGUUUGACGGUACCCGACGAAUAAGCUCCGGCUAACUCCGUGCCAGCAGCCGCGGUAACACGGGGGGAGCAAGCGUUGUUCGGAAUCACUGGGCGUAAAGGGCGUGUAGGCGGUUUGGUAAGUGAGAUGUGAAAUGCUUCGGCUCACCCGAAGACCUGCAUCUCAAACUGCCGGACUAGAGUAUGGGAGAGGACAAGGGAAUUCCUGGUGUAGCGGUGAAAUGCGUAGAUAUCAGGAGGAACACCGGUGGCGAAAGCGCUUGUCUGGCCCAAUACUGACGCUGAGGCGCGAAAGCUAGGGGAGCAAACGGGAUUAGAUACCCCCGUAGUCC